rnacentral:lncRNA from 10 species
UUUCCUAUUGACAAAUGUCUUUCUUGUGCUUUUUGUAAUGCUGUUCUGUUUGGAGCAAGUUUGUUCCCUUUGGCAGAAAACACUAUUCAUGAGAAAAAUUUUCUAAUGAAAAAAAUCCUAGACUUUGGUGCUGAGUAUCAGCAGCAUAAGGAAAAGCACAACUGUGUGAGGAUUAGAACUUUAUAUGUGUAAUUGACUUCAGGCUCCAACCAAAGACAGCAUCAGGAUAAAUCCUCUUAUGCUUUUACUUGCUCUGAACCACCUCUCAGAUGUCCAGGUUCAUGGUAAAAUGUGUUUCAUCUAUGCCUGAAGUAUCUUGAGGCUCUAAAUCUUUGCAAGAGUAUUUUAUUCCCUCAUCCAUGUUAGAAAAACAUCACCAGGAAGGCAAACAUAGUUACCUGAUGGUCUCAUGUUAGACUUUUUGUUUAUUUAGGUAAGCACCUCUUCCUACUAGUGGACUCAUCUCAGAAGAUUUCAAAAACAAAAGUCUCAAGUGACGUGGAUAUUUCCACCUGGUUGUAGUGGGAUAGGCUGGAUUGAUGAUUUUUCACACUAAGCUCUGAGUGUUCCAAUGAGUUCCUUGGAAGUCUCUCAGGAUCAACAGGGCUCUGCUAAAGAAAGAUGCAAACUUUUGAUAAUCUACCCUUGAAGAAAAGCUCCUUGGAAUUUGGACCUACAGUUUGAAAAUUUGGCAUGCUACACCAACACUACAGUGACAAGGGAAAAAAUUGUUUGUGACAGAGAAAAAUUACCUGCAAUUUACAAUACCCAGCUGCCUCCAAAGGAGGUUCUUUGCUGAACAGAGUGAUGGGUAUGAGGAUGCAGGGUUAAGAGAGUUCACCAAAUUGUUCUGCAUUAGAAAAAUCCUGUUUAUUCAUUUAUUGUAGGAGGUAGGCAGGGGUGAGUCAGGGUGAAUGGAAAAUGAAUGAGAUCCAGAAGAACCAGGGAAAAUGUGGAGCCUAUGUGUGGCAAGAUUGAAGGGUGGGAAAGUGGCUAAGGGGAACUUUCUGAGGAGACCCCAGAUGUUAAACAGGAAUUUUUAUUAAAAUUUGCUAUGUGGUGCUCCAUAUAAUCCUUUCAUGCCUUUCUCCAUAAAACCUACAAUAAUAUCUAUAUUUCUUAUCACUAUGUUGAAGGAAAUUGAGUUUGUUCUUGUUGAGAAGUACAAGAACAAAUUGAAGUGUUAAGUCCCACUUCAAGGUGUUUGUGACCCCAGGACAGGGCUGCCUAUGAGGCCCAGGAACAUCUGGGUCCCAUUACUUAAAAAUCAGCAACCUCUCCUCUGGCUGAAGACAUGCAUUAUUUUUAAAAAGCAGAAAGAAAGAACCAACACCUAGAAACCAUUGUCUUGGGGCCCAGGACAAUACGACUCAGCUCUGAAGGAUAAAGGUAGAGUUUUACCAGCCAAAGGUACACAAAGUCCAAAAGACUGGCCUUAACUCAGUGAUGUAGUUUGGAUAUUUGUCCCUGCCCAACUCUCAUGUUGAAUUCUAAUUCCCAGUGCUGGAGGUGGGGCCUGGUGGGAGGUAUUUGGUCAUGGGGGUGGAUUCCUCAUGGCUUGGUUCUGUCUUCAUGAUAGUGAAUGGGUUCGCAAGAUAUCUGGUCAUUUAAAAGUGUGCGGCACUCCCCUACUCUUUCUUUUGCUCUUGCUCUGGCCAUGUGACAUGCCUGCUCCCCCUUCACCUUCCACCAUGAUUGUAAGCUUCCUGUGGUCUCUCUAGAAGUCGAGUAGAUGCCAGCACCAUGCUUCCUGUACAGCCUGUAGAACUGUGAGCAAUUAAACCUCUUUUCUUUAUAAAUUGUCCACUCUCAGAUAUUUCUUUAUAGCAACGCAAGAAUGGCCUAACACACUCAGAACUUCUCUAUGUACCUCACAAAAUGGUUAUAAGGCCCUCAACUCUUAAUCUUUCUAUUGUAAACAUUGUUGAUAUUGAGAAUAUUUACCUGAUGCUGCAAAAUUUGUGUGAAAAGUCAAAGAAUAAAAGUGUUUAAUAAAUCCCA